UAGUCCACGCCCUAAACGAUGUCGACUAGUUGUUCGGGAAGGAAACUUCUUGAGUAACGCAGCUAACGCGUGAAGUCGACCGCCUGGGGAGUACGGUCGCAAGAUUAAAACUCAAAGGAAUUGACGGGGACCCGCACAAGCGGUGGAUGAUGUGGAUUAAUUCGAUGCAACGCGAAAACCUUACCUACCCUUGACAUGUCUGGAACUUGUGAGAGAUCACUUGGUGCCUUCGGGAACCAGAACACAGGUGCUGCAUGGCUGUCGUCAGCUCGUGUCGUGAGAUGUUGGGUUAAGUCCCGCAACGAGCGCAACCCUUGUCGCUAAUUGCCAUCAUUUGGUUGGGCACUUUAGCGAGACUGCCGGUGACAAGCCGGAGGAAGGUGGGGAUGACGUCAAGUCCUCAUGGGCCCUUAUGGGGUAGGGGCUUCACACGUCAUACAAUGGUCGGUACAGAGGGGUUGCCAAGCCGCGAGGGUGGAGCCGAAUCCCAGAAAGCCGAUCGUAGUCCGGGAUCGUAGU
rnacentral:rRNA from 1 species